CAGUAGCCACGGUAAUACGUAGGUGGCAAGCGUUGUCCGGAAUUAUUGGGCGUAAAGGGCUCGCAGGCGGUUUCUUAAGUCUGAUGUGAAAGCCCCCGGCUCAACCGGGAAGGGUCAUUGGAAACUGGGAAGCUUGAGUGCAGAAGAGGAGAGUGGAAUUCCACGUGUAGCGGUGAAAUGCGUAGAGAUGUGGAGGAACACCAGUGGCGAAGGCGACUCUCUGGUCUGUAACUGACGCUGAGGAGCGAAAGCGUGGGGAGCGAACAGGAUUAGAUACCCCCGUAGUCCCUGUCUCUUAUAC
rnacentral:rRNA from 1 species